rnacentral:rRNA from 1 species
AGUCACUGACAUUAGAUACCCGUGUAGUCCAGGGUGUAAACGCUGCAGACUUGGUGUUGGAGGCCCUUUGGGGGCAUUCAGUGCCGGAGAGAAGUCGUUAAGUCUGCUACUUGGGAGUACGUCCGCAAGGAUGAAACUUAAAGGAAUUGGCGGGGGAGCACCGCAACGGGAGGAGCGUGCGGUUUAAUUGGAUUCAACACCGUAAAACUCACCAGGGAAGACUGUUACAUGAAGGCCGAGAUGAAGACUCUGCUAGAUUUUCAG